rnacentral:tRNA from 1 species
CCCUGGUGGCUCUGAUGGUUAAGAAUCUUCCUGCAAUGCAGAAGACCCAGGUUUAAUUCCUGGAUCAGGAA